ensembl:lncRNA
UUGUGGUAGUGUAGCAGUGUGGAAAUAGGGUUGUCCUGCUACAGUUAACUGCGCCUGCCGACCACUAGGGCGGCGGUACUACAUAAAGGCUGCCCCCCUUCUCGCGCCCCACGGAGGCAUCAUUUCCGGGUCGGGUGUCUGUCUGCACAGAGUGGCGACAGAGUGCUCCGUGCCCCGUCCCCCUUUUUGCUCUUGGGUCCUCUCAACCGGUGGUAGAUGUCUUCCUGCCGUGUGGGUUUUUCUCUCCCCCCCCCCCUCUCCCUGUGCAGGUUUGACCUGGGAAACAGGGAAUGCUCAUCAGCUGGCUGAAAUCCACCGGGGCGGCUGUAGGCUGGUGGUGGCGCCGGUGGUGUGGGUGGUGGUGGUCUUCUUCGUGUGUCGUGUCCCAUUGGAUUGUUGUGCUAUCACUGGGUGAACUCUGGUUUGGUUUUCUCUAAGUUUGUUCUAUUCAUUUUCCUUCCCCUUCACCGGCGCUUCUCACCAUUAGGCCUUAGCGAUUAGUUUUCUUUUCUUAUUUUGUGAGGAAUGUUAGAUUUUACGGGAAUGUGUAUUUAUUGAAUAAAAAUGUUUUUGUAACCUGGGAACCACGAGCCCUUGCCUGUAACGAAUCCGCGUGCUUUAAAAGGUCUUGGGCCUAUCCCAAGUGGCGUUGCCGGUAGAAUAGGGAACCAUUUCGCCACAGUAGCAAGCUGGGGCCUUCGCACACGGGUUCAGAAUCAUCCAGAGGGCGUGGUC